rnacentral:misc_RNA from 1 species
UGGUUCUGGCAUCGAUGAAGAACGCAGCGAAAUGCGAUAAGUAAUGUGAAUUGCAGAAUUCAGUGAAUCAUCGAAUCUUUGAACGCACAUUGCGCCCCCUGGUAUUCCGGGGGGCAUGCCUGUUCGAGCGUCAUUUCACCAAUCGAGCCCCGCUCGGUGUUGGGCGCGGCCGGCCUUCGGGCCCGGCCCCCCUGAAAUGCAUCGGCGAGGUGACCGACCCCCGGCGUGUUAAGAAGUAAUUCGUACGUCGGGUGCACCGGUACCCUCUGCCGCCCCAAUCUUUUUAACAAGGUUGACCUCGGAUCAGGUAGGAAUACCCGCUGA